UACGUAGGUGGCAAGCGUUGUCCGGAAUUAUUGGGCGUAAAGCGCGCGCAGGUGGUUCCUUAAGUCUGAUGUGAAAGCCCACGGCUCAACCGUGGAGGGUCAUUGGAAACUGGGGGACUUGAGUGCAGAAGAGGAAAGUGGAAUUCCAAGUGUAGCGGUGAAAUGCGUAGAGAUUUGGAGGAACACCAGUGGCGAAGGCGACUUUCUGGUCUGUAACUGACACUGAGGCGCGAAAGCGUGGGGAGCAAACAGG
rnacentral:rRNA from 1 species